rnacentral:rRNA from 1 species
UACGUAGGGGGCGAGCGUUGUCCGGAUUUACUGGGCGUAAAGCGCGCGUAGGCGGAGCGUUAAGUCCGGUCUGAAAGCCCCCGGCUCAACCGGGGAAGGUGGCUGGAAACUGGCGCACUGGAGGGCGGCAGAGGCGUGUGGAAUUCCUGGUGUAGCGGUGAAAUGCGUAGAGAUCAGGAGGAACACCAGCGGCGAAGGCGGCUUUCUGGUCCGAUACUGACGCUGAGACGCGAAAGCGUGGGGAGCGAUCCGG